UACGUAGGGAGCAAGCGUUGUCCGGAAUCAUUGGGCGUAAAGCGCGCGUAGGUGGCUCUAUAAGUCCGUUGUGAAAGUCAAAGGCUCAACCUUUGAAAGCCGAUGGAUACUGUAGAGCUAGAGUCCGGAAGAGGCGAGUGGAAUUCCUGGUGUAGCGGUGAAAUGCGCAGAUAUCAGGAAGAACACCCGUGGCGAAGGCGGCUCUCUGGGACGGUACUGACGCUGAGACGCGAAAGCGUGGGGAGCGAACAGG
rnacentral:rRNA from 1 species